rnacentral:rRNA from 1 species
AAAUUUUUAGUGGCGGACGGGUGAGUAACGCGUGGGUAACCUACCCAUAAAGUCGGGACAACCCUUGGAAACGAGGGCUAAUACCGAAUAAUCUUAGAUCGUGGCAUCACGAAUUAAGAAAAGGUGGCCUCUGAAAAUGCUACCGAUUAUGGAUGGACCCGCGUCUGAUUAGCUAGUUGGUGGGGUAAAGGCCUACCAAGGCGACGAUCAGUAGCCGGCCUGAGAGGGUGAACGGCCACCCCCGCACUGAGACUCGGCCCAGACUCCUA